GUGCACUUGGGGUGAAUAGUAUAUACUAUUAUAACCUUGGGUUAAUGGUCAUGUUUUCUUCCUUUUUUGGGCUUCUUUAAUGGGUCCAAAGCCAUCCUCCUCAUUGAUUCAUGCUUGGAUAAAAAGUUAGAAGACUUAUUAUAGUCUUUUAGCUUUUCCCCUUGUAAUGGGCCCACUUGGCAUUGCAAUAUCCUCUCUACCAAAUUGAUCCAUGUCCAUGCUCGCAUCAUAAACUUUCGAGAUACAUAACAAAAGUUAAUCGUGAAGCAAAAAAGGUUUUCACUCUUAGUGGGUGAGUUAACCUUCUUUUUUGCUUUAUGC
rnacentral:lncRNA from 1 species